GUGGAACAAGGGUUUUAUUUUAAAGAAACCGAAGAAACUUACCGGCCUUGAAAUCUUGAAAUUUCCAAAAAGAAUUUUUUCCUUCGGGAAAACUUAAACAGAUGUUGCAUGGGGUUGUUAUGAUUUUUGGUGAGAGAUUGGGUUAAUAUCCCAACAACGCAACCCUCUUCUUUAUUUACCACACCUUAGGUUGGGCACUUUAAGGAGACUGCCGGUGAAAAUCCGGAGGAAGGUGGGGAUGACUAAAUUCUUCAUGGCCCUUAUCCUGGGUAACCAUUUAAAAUGGUGUAAAGAGGGGCCAAACCGGAAGGGGGAGAAAUCCAAAAACCCG
rnacentral:rRNA from 1 species